UCUGUGAUUUUGAAUUGUUUUUGAAUAUGUAGGAGUUGCAUUGGGAGAUAGUUGGAUCUCACCAGAAGAUUUUGUGUUCUCAUGGGGUCCUCUUCUCAAAGAUGUGUCAAGACUUGACAGCAAUGGUGCCCAGAAAUCAAACAGUUUAGCUCAGCAAAUUAAGCAGCAAAUCGACAAUGGCCAAUUCGAAGACGCCACAAACUCAUGGAGUGCACUUGAGGAUGUGAUUAGCUCCAGCAGUAAUUCUGUCGAUUUCUAUAAUUUUUUGUUGGAUUCGGGGAUGGACCCAGUGUCAUUGACAGCUUCU